GCUGUCCAUUUUCAUUGCACUUUGCUCCAUUGUGGUAUUGACAUUCUGCAAGAACGAGUCCCAGUAUCAAGUCACUGUUACGGUGUUGUUGGUACCAUUGAUUAACAUAACACUUGACGGCCAUACUUGGUCAUGUUGUAUGUUAUCAGCUUCACAGAGGUACAUGUGGCACUUUAACAGUUAUUUGAUACAGUGACUAGGCUGCAGUUGAGCGAAACCACAAUGGAGUGAAGUGCAACAGAAAUGAACAUU
rnacentral:ncRNA from 3 species